rnacentral:rRNA from 1 species
GUCGAACAGACCUAGAAAUUAUAAGCUUCUGCACUUAAAUCUAAUUUUAAUCCAACAUCGAGGUCGCAAACUUCUCUAUCAAUAAGAACUCUCCAGAAAAAUUACGCUGUUAUCCCUGAGGUAAUUUAAUCUAAGUAUCUUUAAAAAAGGAUCUUUAAAAUAAAAAUUAUUAUUAUAUUAAUAAUGAGAGUUAAUUAAAUCUCAAUGUCACCCCAACAAAAUUAAUAAUCAGUUAUGAAAAAAAAUUAACCAUAUAUUAAAUAAUUGAUUAUUAAUAAAAUUCUACAGGGUCUUCUCGUCCCACUUAAAAAUUUUAGCUUUUUAACUAAAAAAUUAAUUUCAGUAUUUAACACAAAGAAAGAUAUUCCCUCAUCCAGCCAUUCAUACAAGCCUUCAAUUAAAAGACAAAUGAUUAUGCUACCUUCGCACAGUCAAGAUACUG